CAGUGUCAGAUUUUAGCGCUUGUAGGAUUUCCCCAUUGAUUUACAUUGAUUUAAUAUAUUUAUUUAUGUAUCCUCUCUUCUGACGUCAACAUGAAUGACUACUUUUCUACACUUAAAAAAUUUUAUAAAGUGGAUUUUCAAUUGAAGCAGGAAAUAAUACUGAAGGAAGACCAACACCAGAGAUGAAAGGUUUGAAACUACAAGACAGAAGAGUACCUCCUAUUCAAACAGGUGAAGAAAAAGCUCCAAUAAGGAGGUGAUCAGCAUAGAACAAAAACCCACGACUCGGCACAACGAGGGAAACAUGAACAACUCUCAUGGUGACACACUGAAGAUGUGCUGGAAUAGGAGGAUCG